rnacentral:rRNA from 1 species
AUUGAACGCUGGCGGCAGGCCUAACACAUGCAAGUCGAACGGUAACAGGAAACAUCUUGCUGUUUCGCUGACGAGUGGCGGACGGGUGAGUAAUGUCUGGGCAACUGCCUGAUGCUGGGGGAUAACUACUGGAAGCGGUAGCUAAUACCGCAUAACGUCGCAAGACCAAUGAGGUGGACCUUCAGGCCUCUUGCCAUCGAAUUUGCCCACAUGGGAUUUGCUUGUUGGGGGGGUAACGGCUAACCAAGGCGACGAUCCCUAGCUGAUGUGGACGGAUGACCCGCCACACUGGAACUGAGACACGCUCCAGACUCCUACGGGAGUCCGCAGUGGGGAAUAUUGAACAAGGGGCGCGAUACUGAUGCAGACAUGCCGCGUGUAUGAAGAAGGCCGUAGAGUUGUACAGUACUUUGCGCGAGGAGAAAGGGAGUCAAAUUAAUACCUUUACUAAUUGACGUUACCAGCAGAAGAAGCGCCGGCUAACUCCGUG